GAUGAAGAACGCAGCGAAAUGCGAUAAGUAAUGUGAAUUGCAGAAUUCAGUGAAUCAUCGAAUCUUUGAACGCACAUUGCGCCCUCUGGUAUUCCGGGGGGCAUGCCUGUUCGAGCGUCAUUAUAACCACUCAAGCUCUCGCUUGGUAUUGGGGCUCUCGGUUCCGCGGCCCCUAAAAUCAGUGGCGGUGCCUGUCGGCUCUACGCGUAGUAAUACUCCUCGCGAUUGAGUCCGGUAGGUCUACUUGCCAGCAACCCCCAAUUUUUACAGGUUGACCUCGGAUCAGGUAGGGAUACCCGCUGAACUUAAGCAUAUCAAUAAGCGGAGGA
rnacentral:misc_RNA from 1 species